rnacentral:lncRNA from 1 species
AGAGGUAAAGAAAAGAACAUGCUGUCUCGCACACAAAAUCUUUGACUGACCACCAGCCACCUCCCAGUAUCUGGAGAAAUUCUGGCCUCACGAACUGUCCGCAAAGCUUUGAGUGAUAAAGUCCUGCAGAAACUUUAAGAGCAACUAACUCUCCCAGGGCAUGCCAACGAUACUUGAUUUAAAGCAUAACAGGCCCCAUCACUGACUUCAACUACUCACCACCCGGUUUCUUCUCAUCUACUUUUUAUUUUUAAAAAUGUGUAACAUCACAUUUGGGCACCUGUGAGAGAAGAAAGAAUUGACUUCAAUCCUGGCACCAUUUACUUGCCAGCUGUGGACUUUGGGAGUGUUAAUUAGCCUUUCUGAGCCUGUUUUCUCAUCUGUAAAAUGGCAUAAUUAUGGCAUCUACUCAUAAGUCUGUUGACAGAAUGAGAUCAUGUAUAUGAAGUCCUUAGACACAGUGCCUAGCAGAAUGAGUGCCCAGUAUUAUUACUUAUUAUUGUUUUGAUGAGAAUUUUAAUCUAUAAAUCAGAAAAUAACCUAAGUGAAAGGAGUACUAAAAUGGGAUAUCUCCCCCAAAACAGCAAACAUUAACAACCUUAGUUAACGACCCUAUCACUAACUUAAGGGCUCCCUUGCUUGUUUUUCAUCUAGCUCAGUUUGUACUCAACUGCUAAUUACAAGUUAGGUGUUAAUUACCUCAUAAACAUUUCUUCAAAUCACAGAGCAUUAAUUGCCUGCCCCAACUAAAAAGGCUGGAUUCCUGAGUGCUCUUCCUUUUCAUGCCUUAGGUUCCAAGCUGUUUGCUUUCUUUGAGUUGCUUCUAAUUUAUUAGUUCAGUACUUCUCCCACUGGGUGAAUGAACUGUGUUUCUUAGCAGUUGCUAUGUUCUUGCCCCUUCUAAACCACCAAGCAAAAGACAAAACAGUAGUUAAAUAUAAUUAAGUGAAUUUCAGUGAAGAGUGAUCUAGAUUUCUAAAACAACACACCAAAAGUACAAACCAAAGAGAAAAGAUGGCACAGUUAGAACUUCUGUGUAACAAGACACCAAAAACAAAAGUACAGAUACAUGACUGGCUAGGAGAAGAUAUUUGCACAUACAAUAAAGGAUGAACCUCAACAAGAUAAAUAGCCCAAUUGGCAGGGCAGUAGGGGGGCAGGUAGUGGAGGAAGGUAAGGAUGUGAAUACGUUAUUUGCAGAGAAAUAAAUAGAAAUGGCCAAUAACCACAUAAAAAGAUGUCCAACCUCACUAAGUCAUGGUAGUUGGGGAUCGUAACAACCUGGAGCUUGUGGUAUCUUGUGGAUCCACCGGCCAUCUUUAGUUAACAAUUACUUUUAAAAAAAUAGCUUACAUCCUCAUAUUUUAAAAGGUCUGUUUUUAAGAAGACAAUGCAGAGCUGUAUGGGGCAGCUGUGACAACCAUUUGGCAUUUUAUACCUAGACCUUCACCACGUUCUUUAAAGAUGAACAGUGUAUCAAUGAAUAGCUCCAAAGUUUUUUUAUUUUAAAGUGGUUUCCUUUUUCCUGCUUUCUCAAGUGAAUACUGCCCUUCUAAGAAGCUCAUAAAGUCUUGGCAUCUUCGUAAGUGUUGUGCUUAAGACAAGAUUCAAAGGUCACAAUUAAAAAGUACUUAGCUAAAACAACCUCCUCAAUAUUCUGAUCACAAUACGUAGAAAGAUUUAAAUCUUAAAUCUAAUCUUAAUCUAAAUCUAAAUCUAAAUCUAAUCUUAAGCUAAAAAUUAGUGUUUCCUUUCACCAGUAUACAUUGAUGUCUGCAUGAAGUCCAUGUGCUAUUCUUAAAUUUAGUACUCAAAUCUCAAUAUUUUAGGUGAAAGGCUAAAAAAAAAAACCUCUCCAUAAUUAAUAUAAAAAAAAGCAGCAUGGAAUAGUGGGAUAAACAUUGGCUGGGAGUCAGAAGUAAAGACUCCAGCUCUGCCAUAUUUUAGGGGAAUGACUUUGGGGAAAGUUACUUCUGAGCCUCUAUCUUUACUUGUAAAAUGCAUAUAAUAUUAACAUCUCAUAGGUUUGAUAUAUUAAUGUAUCAUAGGUUUUUAAUGGUUUCAACUGAUUGGAACUAUAUUGAAACUAUGAAGCACCUUGUAUAGUCUUUCCCACAUUAAACAAUUCCACAGUAGAAAAUA